UAAGAUAGGAAUCACACAUACAAACUCUCAAAUUCGGCGGUGCUAUUUCAUUCUUCAACGCGCGCGAGCGAAGUCGCGCCGCAGGAGAAUCACGGCAACAUGUCAACAUGCUCAAACCGAUGACACAGAACGCCAUGCGUGACCCGUGCUAACCAGCAUUUCGCUACAAGGGCAAGCGCUUCCGGUACACAAGUUUCUGUUCCCGACUUCUCACAAUUCAAUUGUCACAUUUCAGUUGGUGGCCGUCCGCGCGGCGUGCGCAUUUCAUCGUGACCUUCAUGCGCUUCACACUUAUCGGUGCAGACCUCGGCGACUACACUUGUCGGUGCAGACCUCGGCGACUACGACUCGGCAUUAAGCUGAGAUAGUGGGCGCAGAAGUGCAUCUCCGCCAUGCCGGUUCGCCAACGAAUCGACAAACACGUGAGAUCCCGUCCGUGAAGCUCCGAUGUAUCUCACCCGUUUGGAGAGACUCCUGUGAGACUCAGUCAGAAAACCGGUGUGUGUAUGAGUAUUGAGUGAGUGUGUCUGUUUACACAUAGGCCAACAUUAGACUGUAUGUACAUAUACACUGAUUUGCAUCUACAACGACCUCCACUAUACAUUCUUCUGUACGAAGGUAUUCUGGAUUUCAACCAGGUUGCUUGGCACACUUUUACGCCGAUAACUUAUAAAAUGAUAAGUCAUCACCUUUAACUUUGGAGCUAAAGGUACCAUUGAUUUAAUCGUCGUAUGGUAUGGAUAACAUAGUCAUCAAAUUCACGUCUAAGGUAUUCUGGAUUUCAACCAGGUUGGAAUUCCUAAAGCGAUACCUUAUAAGGUAUCGCUUUAGGUUAACGAUGAUAAGUCUGAGUUUAACGUUGGAACGUGAAUUUGAUGUAGCGCUAGACCAUCGUUCUUGAUUUAAUUGUGUCAAAAAUGUCGACAACUAUAUGUAGCGCUAGACCUACGUUCUUGAUUUAAUGGUGUCAAAAAUGUCAACAAUAUAUGGGACGAAUAGACCUUCGACCUUGAUAAACGAUACCAGGUGAUUGUUACAUUUUGGUAAGUUGGGGUCGUGUAAAGAUCGGCUAGCCGAAUACCGUAUGGGAGGAUUAACUCAAGAAUGACGAGUUAUCUGGAAAUUUUCGUUUUGAUCGAUUUUCACUCUCAAGACGCUAUUUUCCCAUUCAACCGCGCGGCGCCGUACGGCAUGACGAGCGCGGUUCCGAGGGAGCAAAGCCGAACGAGCCCGAGGAGCGCGGAGCGUCCCCUCGCUCUCGAUCCUCGCCCGCACUCCUCCGCUGCCGCGCGAGCGAGUCUGAGGUUUCUGGUGCGCUCCGCGACGGAGCGAAGGACCUCGCGAGGCGAAAUUUCCUUUCAACUCCCUUUCAAACGCUACCCGAUCAAAAAUUUCGGGAGCAACCGGGCGGACAAAUCUGAAAAUUUUCCCCUCCGGGGUGUCCACACCUGCCUGAAAUCCAGAAUACCUUCGAAGGUACGAAGGUAUAGAAUACCUUCGAAGGUAGAAUAUAAUGUCGAAUGGCCAACUUUAUUAUUUGUAAUAUGAUACUCUUACCUUCAUAUGAUAUCAACUUGAGAUUUCUUCACACACGGCGCGCCGGGCGAUUUCCAAAAUGCGCUCAACAACCCCCAUUUCAAGUUAAGCAGCGGCUUUGUCUUUGGGAAGCCGGAUUUCGCCGACGAUGCCUGCGCUGAUCCUUUUUGGACGCUCUUGGCUUGUCGCUUCAGACGAUCUCCCUAUCCCGAUGCUAUGUUUGAUGGUCGUGCACACAGUUUGGUGCGAGUUUUCGAAUCAUAUACUCGCGCUUCGCGCAGUACGAGAUACAAUGGCCACUUAUCCUUCUUGCGCAGGUGCACUGUCGUUCUGCUUGUCUACGAAAGUGAGUACUUCUGUUUAUCUGUAGAUUUCCACGGCCACGCUUUCCUCUCCGCCCGAUUGUUCCAAGCUCCACCUUGACUUUUGUCGCAACAGGAGCGCACCAGGGGCUUGAAAGUCGUUGUGACGCCGGAAAGACAGCGUUGGCGUGGCUAUUUGGAACGUUCUUCUGUUUUCUAUUCAGCACUUGUCUGGAAGGGCUCAUUCUUCGGCACUCACUCAAGGGCUGUAUUCUUCAGCCAGGAGCGAGGCAACAUGUCAAUGGCCUUUUAUACUUACACUUCGUAGUUACUAUUGCCGACUUAGCUUUUACCAUUCUCGGUACGUUUCUGGAUUAUCAUGUUGGAAACUCUUGCUAUGUUCGAAAUCAUGUGCACGCGGCUAUUGUUGUCGUGAUAGUCGGGAACUAUUUCAUCAUAGCUUGCAACUUUUUGGGCAUCGCUUUGAUUUUCAGCGUGUAUCCAGACCUCUCGUCUGAAGAAAAGUGGAACAGAAUGUUCACCAUGCUAGGUUGUUUCCUAUGCCUGCCGCAGGGAAACGGACACGAUCGUGACAGUCAGGGAUCGCUUUCGCACAUUGCCAAUUGCUUUGGCGAGGUGUUCCAAGGCGCUGAUCUUGUCCCUAGUGACAUAGCAGCAGGUCUCGCUUUGCUUGCUCUUCAGCACCGCAGAAUGCUCGAAAAUGAAAUGUUGGGAAGGAGGGCGUCUUGCAGCGCUUUGCCAAAAGGUACCCUUUUCGAUGUAGCCUCGAAACCUUGGGCAAACAAACCCCUUCGCGCAUCUGCCGUGAAUGAUGAUGAGAUUACACCAUGCUCGGGAAACAUUGACACACCUGAAGAAUUGUACAUCACUGAUGAAUCUUUAGCCAAUGUGCUCAGUGAAGCUGCACAUUAUGCGCGCUGGGCGUUGGCGGCGUAUGGAUGGUUGCUGUAUACUUGGGCAAAUCCCAGUGGUGGUCUUGCGUUGGUUUGCUCUGCGCAGGACGCACAAAACUGUUGCUACCACAGGUCAUCGCGCAUUUCAAUGGGCGGGGAUAGAAGAAACAACAGAACAAAAGGGGAUGAUCUUGAUCGCUCGGCGCUAAAAGUAUGUGCUGGAAUUAGCGAUGAUGACUUAUUUCAUGUCUCUUCAACUAAUGGGCAGGACAACAUAUUGAUUGACAUCUUAUUUUUAUAUCACCUCAGAACCCGAUAUAUCAUGUGACACGAGAAACAAAUGUUGCACCUUACAAACUGGGUUGGCGAACAACCAUACUUCAUUGCAAGGGAUUCAGCGCGACACGCUAUCGUCGUCUCAAUUAGAGGCACAAUGUCUGUUCAGGAUUGUAUAACCGAUUGCAUGUAUAAACCUGUGUUAUUAAAUGCCGAUGUAAUCGGCCUGCCUCAUCUCUCUGGAUGUCAGCUUCAUUGUCACGCGGGUGUAGUCACUGCGACGAGCUUUAUCCUUUCUGACCUUGAAAAACAUGGCAUUCUUCAUCGCCUGCUACUCGGAAAUACAUGUUCACUCGGGUCCAAACAAAAGCGCAAACAUUGGCAUCGAGAUGAUGUGUUUGGAUCCAACCGAUUUGGCGGGCAUCAAGGGUGGACACUUGUACUGUGUGGCCACUCUCUGGGGGCGGGAGUGGCAACUGUACUUUCACUCCAUUUACGCCAGACAUUUCCUUCUGUUCGGGUCUGGGCUAUCGAACCCCCAGGCGGGCUCUUAUCCGCUGAACUCGCUGCUGCUUGCCGAGAAUGGACAAUCAGCAGCAUUCAUGGGUCUGAUUUGAUCACGCGACUGUCAGGGCCUUGCUUGCUAAAAUUGAGACAUGACCUGGUGGACUCACUGGUCAGGUGUAAAGUGAACAAGUUCACACUUUUAGCGCGCCUCUCCUGUAGUCCUGAUAUUGUUGAACCUGAUGAUUUUAUUAUGCAGCCAGGAGAUCGUGAAAACGAAGCCAAUACAUUUCGUCAGGAAUUCGAAAGAUUUCAUAUCCAACAGAUUAAAGACCGGCCGCUCAUGGUAGCACCGCUUUAUCCACCUGGACGCCUAUUGCAUCUCUGCCGUAUUCCCAAAAACAGUGGGAGUCAGCCUGUACUUGGAUACGAAUACGAGGUUCGAUGGAUCUCUGCGAAGGAUUUGAUGGCCCAGGGCUUACUUGUCAGCAGAAACUUCUUUACCGACCACUUUCCAGACAAAGUAGUCGCAGUCUUGUCCGAGCUAUCUAUGGUAAAAACCCGUAAUACCUGUCCCAUUAUCUGGCCCAAAAUUCUAGCAACUCUCCACUUAUGCUUGACUAAAGCUAUAAUCACCCGUUGUAACAGAAAUUCCGCACUAAAGACCCGACGCUCGACAAAAUCAAUCGAUUGGGGACUUUUAUUCAAACCGAGGGAAACCAUGCUGCCCCGCCUACAUAGAACAUUCUCUGCAAACAGAAAGACGUUUUUGUCUCAGAUGACGAGGGAAUCACGUGCACAAACACAAUGUCGUCAACGUGUGGAAGCUUAGGCAAACAAAAGACCCGUACAACUGCGAAAUCGUCUACAUUUAUUGAGCAAAAACUAGUAGUGUCGCCUUAUGUCGACGUAUUCACUUCAGCAAUGUCACAUUUUCUAUAUCUAUUGCACAUCAAGUAUUGUUUUUCUACGGUUCACCAAAAAAAAACUUAAAGGUCCUCAAGAUCGCAGCGCUAUUAAUAUGCAGCUCCUUCAUAUAGAAUGAGUCCUUCCCAAACGUACUCAUUUGCAAUUUGCAGGACAGUAAACUAGUUUAAUGUUCCUUCCUCGUUUCCAAGCCUGAGAGGCCCACGACUUUGAUUCGAUGCUCGAACUCCCAAGGUUUCCAAGAGGCCAUUUGUGAGACGAGGCGGAGUUCAUCCUUCGCCUGCGCAACUAGCUCUUCUAUCUGACCAACCCCGAUCGAAGACUCUAUAUCAGUCGGGUUUAGUGUUUUCUCGAUGAUAUCGAGCCGGCUCUUGUAUGUCGCUUCUACAAUCUUCCGGUAUCCCGUUCCUUCGGGAAUUUUUUUCUUCACUUGGGCGAGCAUCUCCUUCACAACAGUUGCCAGGGCUUCCCUUGCAUUUGGUAAGGCCUCAAUGCCCACUAUACCAGUCGUAUGCUUGUACGGUAUCAUCGCGGUAGAUGAGUAACGGAUGCUCAUAGGAGUUUGGCCGCGGGGGGGGGGGGGGGGCGGGGGGGGGUGAUUUACGCGGGCUGGCAGGGAGAAGUUCUUUGCAACCUUCGUAUCAUCUAAGUGUUAUCAUAUAUGAAGGUAUAUAAAAAAUAUCAUUAAAAUAUCCAUAGACUAUGUUUCGUAUGUACACGCAACAUCGAGUUUUAUAUGUGUAUCCGUUUAUCAAGCAAGGGUUUUAAAGGCCGCAUCCCAGCAGCAAGUUAGGGAAGAAAAUAAAAACGGAGGUUCAAAUAAUAAAUACGAAGGUACGAAGCAAUGCAAGGUACACACGUACAUACGAAUAUAGAAGGUAGUCUACCUUCGUAUGGAAUACCUUCGUACGUAUAUAUUAAUAAUAAUACCGUCUUCGAGGAUAGAAUACGAACCUUCAUUCGUAAGUUUAUUUCGAAGGAUGUAUGAGAUUAUUAAUCUCGCUCUGAUAAAUAAUAAUAUUAUAAAUACCUUAGUUAUUAGUUCGUAUAUAUGUAAUACGAAGAUAUGAUAAAUAUUUUAUGAAUGAUAAAUAUUUAUUUAUUACCUUCGUAUUUUAAUAAUAAUAUGAAUGAAGGAAAAAUAAAGAGAAAAUGAACGAUCGAUGUUGUUGUUGGUCGUUCAUCUCCAAUCAACCUUACUUUUGAAAAAUCGUUUUCAAGCGGAUCUCGGAUGGACAUCCGUUCUUAGAGUGUUCUUAUUAGUGAUGGGCAUUACUACGAAUCGACCAAGCUGAUUGCUCAUAUAUAGAGAGUGCGUCUUUGAUACGAAAAGUAUGCAAACCCCGUUGGUUAUUACCUUCGAAGGUAAUAGCUAUCUAAUAAUAAGCUACCUUCUCGAGCUAGCUAGAGCUAUAUUUAUAGAAUGCUAUAGAUAGUAUAUAGAAUGCUAUAGAUAGUAGUGAGCCUACGAACGAAUGAAGGUGCUUUCUAUUCGUACGGCAGUAGAUUAUAUGUAGCAUGUAUGUAUCCAUAGUCUACCUUAUUAUUCUUCGUAACAUAUCUUGCUUUGCUUCAUAAGUGUAUAUAUGCACACGAAACCCUUAACAAUUACACAUAUAUUGCUAGCUAGCUAGCUAGAUAUAUAGGAGGUUAACCUUCUCUUUGCUCCAAGAAACGGGGCCGCUGUCAACGCCUGGAGAAUGGGGGGAAGCUGCGGCGACCGAGUGGACGGACCUUGGACAGCUGCUUCCGUCGCGGAAGUGCACAGACGUCACACCGCAAAAACCCAGUGCCUGGGUGGCAUCGGGAAGGUGAGACCGCGCGCGGAGGACGCGCACACAACUACCUUGAGUCUAAAUUCCCACCACCAUAAACUAAUCUUGGCACGCAUUUGGUGCUUCCUUGUUCCGAAGACGGGAGGCCUCGCUGCCUGCACAAAAUAGUGGGUCAGAUUAAUUUUACAAUCGCGGCCGAAUCAGAGGAUAAGGGCACUGCCAUUGGUCUGCAAGGCUGCCAUCCCUUGAACCAGCAAUAUAGUGAACCCUAACACGUGGGCAUUACGCAGCAAAUCGCGCGCAUGCAUCCAACGUCUCAGUUGGGACACUUGGCACACGUUUCGCCAUGCGCUUUACGAUGAUCGGCCUUGACUCACUUGCUCCUCGGUUUGCUUGGAGUGGCCGAGCCAGCAACCACCUUUCAGCUGAAAUUCGCGGUUCUUGAACGAACUGGACACGACGUGCCAGUUCGACUGUUCACAACACCAUGGGCAUAUGGAUACGUGUAAAAUUCUAUCUGUGUGUACCAUAGCUAUGGUCUUGGAACGGAUGCCGCCGAGGAGCGCAUAAAUGAUGCCGCUGGCUAGUGUUCAGUCACAAAAGUUUGAAGACAUGCAUUGCAGAGGUAACUAACACGCCAUGGGGGGAGCGUAUGCGGAUCAAUUUCUUCCCGAGGGGCGCAAGAGUGCCAAAGUGCUCGCAUGCAUCGCCGUUUCUCGAUAUGCAAGGAUAAAGGCAAUUGACGGCGGUGAAUCAGAGAAGGACUGCCAGCUCAUGGUUUCCGUGGUAUGACGCCAAAAAAAUGGAGACGUGAAAUUUUUUUCCAAACUCGAUGCUGAACGAGACCAAGAAGCCCUGACGCGAGAAAUAAACGCGGUGGGAUUUUGCAUCUCCUUCAGCAUGUGUGUACACCUCACAGAAAAGCGUUUUGGAUAUAUGCCGAGAAGGUGUCUCUGGUGAGCAAAAGAUUCAGCAUGCAUCCUCCUCCGGUCCCGAAAUUUGUGGCCAAGGCAGUGUGCCACCCGAGGUUAGGUGCAUGCCCUAGGGUCCGGUGAUAUCGUAGGCGUGAAGUGGCCCUUGCACUCAACGUGGCAAGCUGCGCGCACAUGGCCGUGGAGAACAUGACUCAUACGAAGGUAAUAGCGAGCUCCAAAUCCUACUUCAAAACGGAGGGAAAGUUAGUGAGCAUUCUUUCACGUAACACUAUUCGUGAAUACAAGCAAAGUCACUCAAGAUCUUCACAGCGAUUUGACUCCACCGCGGGGAGGGAAACGUCACCAACUCCACCGAUAAUCUGCACACUAGUGUCACCAAACGCAGCCAACUCGCGCGGUGCUGUUUUCCCAUCUGCCUUUAUCUUCACGCAUACACGCAAAAUGUUUGCCGCCGAAAGAAUAUGAAGUGGGCAACCUUUACUUGUCUUUCUCUGAGCCCAUCUCUCUGUGUAUGACUGAAAGUUAUUUCCGAGAAAGAUGUGCGAUCGAAGAACACCUGGAUUUACCCAGUUUGCCUUUAACACGUUUUCAUACAGGACAGCUUCACAGUGUGGCAUGAACCAAAAAGUCGGGUCUUUUGUGGGCUGAGCAUCUGGACCAGCAUAUUUAUCACAUUCUUCCCUUGUUAAGAGUGUCGAAUUUUCUGAACUACAGUUGCUGGUAUUGUAAGAUUUAUUCGGUUGGUUCGGAUGAUCGACGAUAGAUCCAAAGAUCUUAUGAAGGGACCCGACGAGCUCUUUAUCAACUGGCGUAAACACUGGGUCAUAAAGCUCCACGGCCGAAAAAGUGAGCCCAAAGUGUUCUAGUAAGAUUAUUGCGAAAGAAAGCUGCAAGCGAGCAUCAAUUGAAUUCGAAGGCGAGCCUAAUCCGAGAAUGAUGCAACGACUUAGGUUUGUAUUCGAACUGGUUACCCCAGAAAAUUUCAAGUCUUCGAGAAAGGUAUUGACAAACUUUGCCCCGCGGAGCUGAGAGAUGGAGCGCCUUAACAGAUCGAUGGUGCGCUCUAGCGUUACACCGGGACCGUCCUCGCUGGGGCGCACGUCUGCAUCUAUCCGGGCCUUGAGCGUUGCGAAUGCUGCAAAACAAAUCAAAAAGAGAGGCGCGACUUUCAAGAAUGUUCGCAAAGACAAUAAACGCUUGGGACUGGAGGACUGCAGGCGAUUCUAACCAUCAAUUCCACUGACUUACCUGCAGAGUUCAUCCUACGGCAAGAUUUUCUCCCCACGACGGUCCAACCUAGCCGUGUUCAGUUGCACAACAGAGUGAUUAAGACUGCCGAGACUCGCGGUUGACUGACUGAUCUACUCACCGUCCUCCGACAUUUGAAACGACGUUCACUAGCUCGCUCUAACUAAUAAGCAGAAUCGUAACCUUGGGAGCUACUGAUGAAGAUGAUAGCGGCUCGCCCUUCACUAAGUCUGUCCGUCAUUUUUUUGCGGUAGGGUCCGGGUAAACUACAAAGCGACCUCACCAGGAGGGAAAUGCGCAGGAACCUCUCCCCGUCGGCCCACGCACGCGCAAAGCUACCUCCGUAACUAUCACCUUCUUAUUGUAGUCCGAAGGACAGAUUAUUAUGCACAACAUGGCUGCUGUGUUGAAGAUUAUUUUGGGGGGUACAAGUCAUCCUUACUUGAUGAGUUGAUUUCCCCAUAUAUAUACUGACGCGCGCCACGCGCUGACAGGAGCGGUUUUCAACAUGAGCAAGAUGCGCUCUCACAUAGCCGCUGACGCGCGAGUAACAAGCGGCGCGCUGUAUCUUUAGAGUCCUCGCCGUGUCUUUAGGGGUUUGGGGUUGGGCUUUCAGGGUUUAGAGUUUAAACAGCCGCGAAGCGGCUCGUCGGCCACUCCCUAUUUACAUCAAUUUCCUGAAGCAUGCCACGCGCUGCAGGCCCCUCCCUCUAAAAAAAAAAUUCAUAACGCAGAUGCACAACAUCCCACGUUAAAUACCUUCUUUCGAUAAUAAUAAACACGAGGUACGAAUGAAGGUAACUUUUACCGAAUGAAGCUUAAUAUGCCACGAGCUUUAUUUAUUUUCCCUUAUUUCAAUUAGCCUACUCCAGCCUGCCAGCUGCUGCCUGCUUUAUUUCUUGAUUUGUUACAUGUAUUACACAUAGACUAUAUGUAUGCUUCGAUUCGUAUGUACGUACGAAGGCACAUUAUUUAUUAGCUAUAUAUAUGAUAUCUAUCUGGAUAUAUGGAAUACAAGCAAUGCAAGGGACGAAUGAAUGAACGAAGCGAAGUAAUAAGGUAUGGAAUACAUGAUAAUCUCUAUCCAUACACGUGCGUGCUAUCCCUUAGAAAUAUCAUAUAUAUACGUAAUACGAAGGUAAAUAAUAUGUCGAAGGUAUUACGUAUGUACAUAUGACUUAUAUAUAUAUGUAUUCUGGAUUUCAAUCAGGUUGGAACACUUUUACGCCGAUAACUUAUUAUAAAAUGACAAGUUAUCACCUUUAACUUUGGAGCUAAAGGUACCAUUGAUUUAAUCGUCGUAUGGUAACAUAUAUAAGUGUAACAUAGUUAUCAAAUUCACGUUCCAACGUUAAACUCAGACUCAUCAUCGUUUACCUACAGCGAUACCUUAUUAUUAUAAGGUAUCGCUUUAGGUGUUCCAACCUGAUUGAAAUCCAGAAUACCUUCGAAGUAAUAAGGUAUAUAUAUACCAGUUAUUAUCAUGAUUAUUCCUUCUGCGAAACACAACUAUCUGGUUCGAAGGCUG
rnacentral:lncRNA from 1 species